CACCAGGAGAUUCCCUCGAGUGUCUACAGCA
rnacentral:piRNA from 1 species